ACACGGCGAGAAUAAAGCAAGAUGGCGUCUGACGGUGAAGACGUUAUUGCAGUCGUCACAGUUCAGUGUUCUUAAUCUGUGUCUCCAUGGACACAUAUAUUUCCUUUAUUACACUCUAGUAAAUAGAGUAAACAUCGUUAAUAACUGUUUGCAUCCGGUUAUAUUAGUCUGAGCGCACUUUGAUGCUUCUCGAGCUAGCUUAGCCUGCUAGUUAGCUUAGCUUGUUAGCUGCUAACAAAGAGAGGCGGAAGUGAUCAAAACACAUCACUAAGUAGAGAUCAAGUGUGAGUGUAAAGUGUUGUGAUUGUGUGAAAAUGUGCCAAAGAACCACAGCAGAGUACGAGGAGGAACUUUGUCCAACAAAAGAGGAGAAGGAGCGACAACAUGAAAAACAUCAAGUUGUGUUACACAGAACAGACAUCCAUCAGCUGAUUGGACACCAAGAAGAAUGUCUCCCUCAUCUGCAGGGGGACAGUUUCACUUUAGAGUAUCCACAGCUCUCAAAUUUUAAAGGGGACAAGGAGGUUCCACAGCCCCCCUAUUUCAAAGAGGAAGAGGAGGGAGAGUGUCCUGUAGGGCAGGAGAAGGCUGAUGUCAGCAAGUUUCCACUGACUGUUGUUUCUGUGAAGACUGAAGAGCAUGAAGACAAACCACCUGAGUCCUCACAGCUUCAUCACAGUCCAAACGUCUGUGAAGAACAUCUUCACCCUCAGCAACAGAAGUGGAGCUUCAGGAUGCGGACAGAGGAGCCACAGCCCUCCCACAUUAAGAAGGAAGAGGAAUACCCACUGAUACCCCAUUUUAAAAAGGAAGAGGAGGACCCACUGACACCCCAUUUUAAAAAGGAAGUGGUGGAUCCACUGAGCCCUCACUUUAAGGAGCAAGAGAACCCACUGAACCCUUACAUUAAAGAGGAAGAGAUGGACCCACUGACCCCCUACUUUAAAGAGGAAGAAGAGGACCAAGAGGCGCCGCACAUUAAAGAGGAAGAGGAGGAAGAGGGCAUCAGUCAGCCUAAAUGGUUGGAGGAGUUCCCAGUGACUGGUGUCCCUGUGAAGAGUGAAGAUGAUGAGGUGAAAGGUGAAAGUGAGGAGAGGGGAGGGGGGGAGCCUCCAAGCAGCAGCUCAACACAACACAUGACAACAGAAGCUGAUGGAGACCACUGUGGAGGAUCACAAGCAGACAAGCUCUUAGCUCCACUAUCAGAUAGUGAGGACACAACGUCACACUCUCCUGACACUGAUGAUGAAGACUCUAAAGAUGAUAAGACAUGUCACACUGACAACACUCGUUCCACAUGUUCUCACUGUCACAAAACUUUUAAAUAUCCUAGUAAAUUGAAAAGACACAUGAGAACACACACUGGAGAAAAACCUUUUUCAUGUUCAAACUGCGGUAAACAUUUUACUCAGAGGCCAGAUUUAAAAGUACACAUGAGAACACACACUGGAGAAAAACCUUUUUCAUGUUCUAUCUGUGGUAAAGAUUUUACUCAGAGGCCACAUUUGAAAGUACACAUGACAACACACACUGGAAAAAAACCUUUUUCAUGUUCUAUCUGUGGUAAAGAUUUUACUCAGAGGCCACAUUUGAAAGUACACAUGAGAACACACACUGGAGAAAAACCUUUUUCAUGUUCAAUCUGCGGUAAAGAUUUUACUCGAAGGGAAAAUUUCAAAAAACACAUGAGAAUACACACUGGAGAAAAACCUUUUUCCUGUUCAAUCUGCAGUAAAUAUUUUGCGCAACGGCACUAUUUGAAAGAACACGUGAGAACACACACUGGAGAAAAACCUUUUACAUGUUCAGUAUGUUGUAAAAGUUUUUUACAAAGUCAGCAUUUGAAAAGACACAUGAGAAGACACCCAGGAGAGAAAGUGUUGAGUUGCAGUGUGUGUGGUGAAAGAUUGUCUUCUAAGUACCAGUGUAAGAAACACAAGUGUGCUGGUGAGAACAGCAGCAGCAAAUGAAACUGCAGGAUUUGAAAUAAACUGUCCAGACUUUAACUUUGACCUUCUAAAAACAUCAGCACAUAGUUUCUAAGAUUUAUAGAUGAGAUAUUUUAGAUUAUUACCUUUUUUCAGUCAAGUACUACACAUGACAAGUGUUUUUUAAAGUUGUUCAUGAUUUAUCCCCCUUUUUUAGAAUUCCUCAAACAUUAUCAAUUUCAGAAAACAUGGGAAUGUUUGGAAUGUUUGGGAAAAGUUAAUUAUGUACAUCAUCCCACAGAGCUUUACUGUACAUCCAUCCAUUUGUUCUACCACUUGUCUCUUUCAUUUUAUAUGUAUAGCAUUUAAUCACAUACUUGUCCGCCAAAGGGUGUUGCGUUUUGGAGGAACUCCUUCUGUCAGAGUGCUGGUCACACUUCUUUUACUGCGGAAAUCUACUCACAAAAACAAUCCAAACAGUAGGAAACAAAAAACGAUGGUGCGAAAAAGAGAAGACUAAAUGUGCAUUUUGGAAAAAAUAACAAAAGCUACUUCUAUACACAAAUAAAGUCAACUUGGUUUGGAGAUACAAGACGUGCACACUACAAAACAACACCAAGAUGGAUGGCACUGGGAAUGGCCAAGGUAGCAAAAUACUCAAAGCAUGGAAUCAACUGGCGUGUAGUAGAAUCGCCGAGUGCCAUCCAGCUGUCAAGGUGCUGCUUAAGUAGCACCAGGGUCAAUUGGAAGCAGCUGUGCACGUCCCACAACUCCGCCCACAAAGGCAACACAGGAACUUUAGGAGGAAGGAGAAAUGUAAGAACAAGGUCAACUGCACCAAAAGACGAAAACUGACUGUUGGAGCCAAAUUUCCUUAUUUGCUUAUAUUGUUUUUAUUUUGUUUUCUCUGAUUGAUUGCUGGCUUCAGUUCAUGCUGAAUUUCCCUUUCUGCAGAUUGCUCCGCCCACUUCCUGUUGAGAACCAGGAAGUGUCGACAGGGAUGGGACUGUUGCUAUGGUGCGGUUGCCAUGGUAGCCUCCUUUAAUUGUGUUCAGCUGGGAACACUGGGGGGUGAUUACAUGGAGGACAAACAGUUUUGGAGCGUGUGGUGUGGUGUGUGGUCAGGUCUCACUGCUGUGACAAUGUGCCAUUCAAGCCAAGUACUGGACAUUCAAUCAUCAAACUGGUCAACACAGUAUCAGUAUCAGUAUCAGUAUCAGCCCAAAGAUAAGUGCUGUACAAUGAGAAUAAAAUGCCUCGUAGCCGAUUAUACAAAUGUGAUCAAUUCAUCUAGAUAUUGUCCUGCCACAGUGAAUAGGUUUCCCUUUUUAAAGGGCAAAUUCCUCCCAGGGUCUUUUGUCCUAAUGACUGUCUGGAUAAAGUGAGGAGAAUAUAAUUCAGGAAAACAAUUUAUUUUACAAAUAAACUAGAUUAAGUAACACAUUUUUACAGUUAGCUAAAUUGGACAGAACACCUGCAUCAUCUUCUCAACAACACCCACAUUCUUACAAACAACAUAUUUAAGAAUGGUGGUGUUAAAUACAAAGUGCAUUCAGAUACAAACAAUUAUUUUUGAUGUUUACUCUAUUAAAGGACAUAUAUGUGCACAUGUAUGCACUGAUUAAAAAUACAGAACAAUAAUGCCCACGUUUAGACUUUCUCCAUCAAACGCCAUCUUGCUUUCUCCUCCUUUCUAUUUCCAGCAGACUCGUAGAACAUCUUAGGUGUAUUG